UACGUAGGGUGCAGGCGUUAAUCGGAAUUACUGGGCGUAAAGCGUGCGCAGGCGGUUUGCUAAGACAGGUGUGAAAUCCCCGGGCUUAACCUGGGAACUGCGCUUGUAACUAGCAGGCUAGAGUGUGGCAGAGGGGGGUGGAAUUCCAGGUGUAGCAGUGAAAUGCGUAGAUAUCUGGAGGAACACCGAUGGCGAAGGCAGCCCCCUGGGCUAACACUGACGCUCAGGCACGAAAGCGUGGGGAGCAAACAGG
rnacentral:rRNA from 1 species